UGACUUUGGUUAAAGUCAAACUGCUCCAGGUUUGACCAAGUUUGUAGAAAAAGUAGUAACAUUUUCAACACAAGACAAAUAUAUUAUGAAAAUAUAUUCAAUUAUUGAUUUAAUAAAACUAAUUUGGUGUUCUAAAUAUUAUUAUAUUUGUCUACAAACUUAGUCAAACUUGGAGUUGUUUGACUUUGACCAAAUUCAA
rnacentral:pre_miRNA from 1 species